CCUAAUGUUUUGUAAGCAGUUAAUUUUCAAAAUUUUUCCGGUUUGGUCUAGGGACAAAACCUGUAACUUGAUUUUGUGGGCUUUUGAUGUUGUGAUGUGGUCUUGUAUAAAUGCACUCUCUCUCAGCUUGUCAAGUUAAAGUGUACCAGGAUGUAAUGUUGUUAAGCUUAAAUUCAGCAUAUUUCUGUUUUGGACCAGGUGGUAAGGUGCCAUAGGGUGGCAGGCAGAGCUCUUGGAGUAGCAUGAGGUUCUGGAGUCAAACUGACUCCACAGAGGCAUGCUGAAAGGAGACACAGGUGCAUGGACUGGGGAUUACUUAGAAACUGCUCUGGUGGUCUUAGAAGGUCAUGUCCACUAGGGAUACUAUCUAUUUAUAGAUUUUUAAAGGGAAUGCUAGUGGCACACACAUUCUUCUAAUAUCUAAAGCUUAGUUCUGUGAGACCUAGUGGCCCUGAAUGCUUUUUAGCACAUAUGAUCAGUUGUCCCAGAAUGGCUGCAGAAAGCCUUAUCCUUGCUAUAAGCACUAAUCAGGAUCUAUGGGAAAUUGUUCCCUGGCCCAGAGUCUCCGGUGACAUUAUUUCCUUCUGUGAGAUCAUCUUGUGACAGCAAAAGUUUGGGCUGUGUACUUAAAUUCUUACUGCUUACAUUCAGCGAUUCUCUGGAAACUUAGAGUUCCAGAGUGGCUUAGGGGAAAUAGAACUUAAGUGUAAAGAUAGGUUAUAGACUGAAGAUUCUAUCGAACUGUAUAUGCUGCCAUCAGAAAGAUGACAAAUGUAAAUUAUGACACUGACAAGGCUCAUGCUUUUGCUGACCACAGCCCUACAAGAUAAAUGAGUGCUAAACUUUUUGGUUCUUAGAACAAUUUGGGAAAUUGAUGUCAACAUACUUGUUGUAGGCGAACCGUAACUCUGUAUCUAAGGUAUAAGUUACCCUUAGCUAUUAAAAUUUUUG
rnacentral:lncRNA from 1 species